rnacentral:rRNA from 1 species
GCGUUGUUCGGAUUUACUGGGCGUAAAGGGCGCGUAGGCGGCGUGACAAGUCAAUUGUGAAAUCUCCGGGCUUAACUCGGAACGGGCAAUUGAUACUGUUGUGCUAGAGUACAGAAGGGGCAAUCGGAAUUCUUGGUGUAGCGGCGAAAUGCGUAGAUAUCAAGAGGAACGCCUGAGGUGAAAACGGGUUGCUGGGCUGAUACUGACGCUGAGACGCGAAAGCUAG